rnacentral:rRNA from 1 species
ACGGUAAUAACGUCAAAGAUGUGACAAUGGACAAUCCGCAGCGAAGUCCUCUGGUCUAAUCAACCGUGGAACGCGUUCAGAGACUAGAUGUUUGUGGGCUGCUAACGCGGCUUAAGGUAUAGUCCGUCCUGCUCCGAAAGGGGUUUGGGUUUAUAAACGUAGAUGUUCUGGGCCGCACGCGCGCUACACUGACGGAGCCAGCGAGUUUUUUUUCCUUGGCCGGAAGGUCUGGGUAAUCUUGUGAAACU